rnacentral:rRNA from 1 species
CAGUAGCGUAUAUUAAAGUUGUUGCAGUUAAAAUGCUCGUAGUUGAAGUUCGGAUGCAGCAGAGCUUGGAAACGCUGUUAUGGUGCUUCCGUUGCUUUUGCUUGUCCACAGUGCGUUGCAAGUACGUAUGUGCUUGUGCGUGCAUUUUACUUUGAGAAACAUAGGGUGUUCCACGCAUGUUACGGCAUGAAUAUUCCAGCAUGGGAUAAUCUGGUACGACUUCCAAUCUGCCAUUUUGGUUCGUAGGUUGGAAGUAAUGAUUAAUAGGGACUGUCGGGGGCAUUGGUAUUUGACUGUCAGAGGUGAAAUUCUUAGAUUCGUUGAGGACCAACCACUGCGAAAGCAUUUGCCAAGGAUGUUUUCAUUA